UACGUAGGGUGCGAGCGUUGUCCGGAAUUACUGGGCGUAAAGCGUGCGUAGGUGGUUUUUUAAGUCCGUUGUGAAAGCCCUGGGCUCAACCUGGGAAUGGCAGUGGAUACUGGAAAGCUAGAGUGCGGUAGAGGGUAGUGGAAUUCCCGGUGUAGCAGUGAAAUGCGUAGAGAUCGGGAGGAACACCAGUGGCGAAGGCGGCUACCUGGACCAGCACUGACACUGAGGCACGAAAGCGUGGGGAGCAAACAGG
rnacentral:rRNA from 1 species